rnacentral:rRNA from 1 species
AGAACGAACGCUGGCGGCAGGCUUAACACAUGCAAGUCGAACGCUCCGCAAGGGGAGUGGCAGACGGGUGAGUAACGCGUGGGAAUCUACCCAAUACUACGGAAUAGCUCCGGGAAACUGGAAUUAAUACCGUAUGUGCCCUACGGGGGAAAGAUUUAUCGGUAUUGGAUGAGCCCGCGUUGGAUUAGCUAGUUGGUGAGGUAACGGCCCACCAAGGCGACGAUCCAUAGCUGGUCUGAGAGGAUGAUCAGCCACACUGGGACUGAGACACGGCCCAGACUCCUACGGGAGGCAGCAGUGGGGAAUAUUGGACAAUGGGCGCAAGCCUGAUCCAGCCAUGCCGCGUGAGUGAUGAAGGCCUUAGGGUUGUAAAGCUCUUUCAGUGGGGAAGAUAAUGACGGUACCACAGAAGAACGCCCCGGCUAACUUCGCGCCAGCAGCCGC